rnacentral:lncRNA from 1 species
GCUGCUGACGUUGUAGUGGUUGGGGAUAUAUUUGUUGUCAUAGAAGCUACAGUUGUUGUUGUAGGUGCUGCAGUUGUGGUUGUCGUAGCAGCUUCAGUUGUAGUUGUCGUAGCAGGUGCUGCAGUUGUGGUUAUCGUAGGAGCUUCAGUUGUAGUUGUUGAAGUAGGUGCUGCAGUUGUAGUGGUUGUAAGAGCUACAGAUGGUGUUGUAGGAGCAUCAGUUGUAGUUAUUUUAGCAGAUGCAGCGGUUGUCGAAGUAGGUGGUGUAGUUGUGGUCGUAGUUGCUACGGUUGUCGAAGUAGGUGGUGUAGUUGUGGUGGUAGGAGCUACAGUUGUACUUGGAGCUACAGUUGUGGUUGUCGUAGGAGCUACAGUUGUCGUUGUAGGUGCUGCUGUUGUAGUGGUCGUAGUAUCUAAAGUUGUAGUAGGAGUAUCAGUUGAGGUUGUCGUAGUAGCUGCGUUUGUAGUGGUCGUAGUGGGUGCUUCUGUUGUAAUGGUCGUGGGAUCUAAAG